CUCAAAUAAAGCUGGGUUGCAGUACCACAUAUCACCGUUAGGUGCUGCUACUUGACAGUAUAGUAAAGGGAUUGAAAUCUAAACAAAAUCUUUUUCCUUCCUCCCUUUUUUUUUCUUUUGUGCUUGUUGACUGUCAAGCCCUAUACUAUACUCUGCAGAUACUGCAAUAAACAAGACAAAAAGUCUUAUGAAGCAGAUGAGUCAUUACUAUAGGAAGUGAGUUUAGAAGAGAGCUUCUAUUUCGAGUUUAUGCUGAAGUAGAAAGCCCAUCUAUGUGGAACCUGAAGGCCAACCUCAGAGGAACCUGUUGUCUCUCCUCCAGGAACUCAUCUGUGUCCAGGAAGAUGCUUGUUCUAUUCUAAUCAGAAGCCAGUGGGUGCUGGCCUGCUGGCUGGCUGUAAACCGGAGAAUGAGCGGAGGCCAGGGAGUGUGAGCAUAUCUUCAGGCCACCACUCUGGUCUCACCCUUAGUCAACUACACUGGCCCCUUGACCAGUUUCACAGCACCGACUCCUACUAUCUUCUAACAGACUGGCUGCUGCCACUGUGAUAUUUCUGGACAAUCACCUGGAACACAUUCUGUUGUUUAAAACCUUCCAGUGGCAUCUCUGUGCUCUUUGGAUUGCUAGAAAUAGUAUUCCUGAAUUACCUGGUAGAACACACAUCAUCCUUCAGAGGAGGAAGCAGAACACACAUCAUCCUUCAGAGGAGGAAGGGGAGGAAUGACCAUGUCACCAGAAAUUUGUUCAUUACUACUAUAAUUUGGAUCUGGAAUGAUCCUCAAAUGCCCAUGUGAUAAAAGCCUGGUCCUCAGUCUUUGGUGUUAUUAGAAGAUGGUGGAACCUUCAAGAGGUGAGGCUAAGUGGGAGGUCUUUAGGUCACUGGGAGUGUGUCCUCAAAGGAGGUUGGAACCUUGGUCUCUCUCUUCUCUCUCCCUUUCUCUUCUUCCUCCUUUUUCUCCUCCUCCUUUUUCUUCUUUUCUCCCUCUCUCUUCCUACUUCCUGGUCAUGAGGUUUUCUCUGCCAUGUGCUCCCACUGUGAUGAGCUGCCACAGACCCAAAGCAAUGGGAACAACCAAUCAUGGACAGAAACCUCUAUAACUGUGAAAAGUAACUGAAAACUAACACAAGUAUUUAUUAUUUCAACCUAUUUCUCCUGAGAUGCAUUUAUUUUCUCAUUAUUUCAUGUACCACAGCCAAUCCCAUGCACUUCCAC
rnacentral:lncRNA from 1 species